CACUGGAAACGUGUGUGUGUGUGUGUGUGUGUGUGUGUGUGUGUGUGUGUGUGUUUACGGGUGCAUGUGUUUACCCUGUGGCAACACAAAGUGAUAAACGGGCCCUUGCAUGCAUGUGGCUAAAAACAGCUUGAGAAUUUCAUUGUGGACAGUCCAAAGGUGGUAGCGUCUGUGAAAGUCACGUGGUCCUACACGUGCCCUCAAAUUUCUGCUCCCUUUAAGCUGUAAGUAGACUGGGCCCCGGGAGUAAUCAGGGAAGUUACUGGAGGUUUCUAUUGUAACCCAGGGUUUUCUAGAAGAGAGAGGGAGAGGCGGCUCAACGAGGUUCCUCUCGGACCCAAAGCAGGCCCAACCAGGCUCACCCUAACCGCGUGACAUGGCCUCAGGUUUAGCGGACAUACAAAGACCCCACCCACCUUACCUGGCCGCUCUGAGGCAUGCACAGCUCUCUGAGAUCUUGCUCUCCGAAGAGACUGCGGUAGAAGGGACGCCUGUUACGGCCUCCGGCCGGCAGAGGGAGCUCGGCCAUAGAGUGAAGCGGGGAGCGCUUCCGGCCGGCGCUGCCCGCACUGCGCAGCCGAGGAGGAGCCGCGGGCGGAUGGAGGAGGCGCUGACUGGGCUCGCGGCCUGCGAAGCAAUGAGCGCGGCGGGCUCGGGGCCUCGCCGCCGGGCGCGGGUGUCCCGCCUGGUCUCCUUCAGCGCGAGCCAUCGGCUCCACAGCAAAUCUCUGAGUAAGGAAGAAAACUUGAAACUGUUUGGGAAAUGCAACAAUCCAAAUGGUCAUGGCCACAAUUAUAAAGUUGUGGUGACAGUCCAUGGAGAGAUUGAUCCUGUUACAGGAAUGGUUAUGAAUUUGACUGACCUCAAAGAGCAUAUGGAGGAGGCAAUUAUGAAGCCCCUUGACCAUAAGAAUCUGGAUCUGGAUGUGCCAUACUUUGCAGAUGUUGUAAGCACGACAGAAAAUGUAGCUGUAUAUAUCUGGGAAAACCUCCAGAAAUUUCUUCCUGUGGGAGUUCUUUACAAAGUCAAAGUAUAUGAAACGGACAAUAAUAUUGUAGUCUAUAAAGGAGAAUAGCUCCUAGAGGUUACUACUACAGAAAAAUUUAAUUUCUUUCCACAUUUGAAGAUCUUUAUCCCCCUCAUCCCCUUGGAUAAUUGUUUUGCCUCCACAUUGGAUUCUGGGGGACUUGAUUUAUUGAAAUCAUUGUGAGUAAGAUCUGUUUUAAAUUCAAAUCCAUUUUAAAACCAAAUUUGUGAUGUAUUCUGAGUAUCAUUUAAAGAGUUUUUUAAUCUAUAGAUUAAAAUCACUUCAGCAAAAUGUUUUGGUGUAGAAUUAUUUGAAAGCAAAAGAAAUCUACUUUUGUUUGUCCAUUAUCUUCUUUUUAGUGUUCAUUUUUUUCUCAGUAUAAUAUAAAUAGCAAAAAUAUAAUAAGACUUAAACAGUAGGUGAAUCUUGUACAAAAUAAAGUGCAAAUGACCACGAAGUCUGGAAACAUAGACAAUAUAUAUUUCUUAGUAUAUUGAGCUCCCUUGAUCACUUCUUCCAGGAUAUGCAAAAGGUGCAAGUAGAUUCAGUGAAAAUUAGACAGACAUCGCAUUGUAGAUGGAGGUACAAGGAUUGAUGGAGAUGCUGCUUUAGUGCACAUUGUUCAUUACAAAUUUGCACAGCUAAUUGGACUGUGAACCACUCAUGAGGAAUAGCACGUUGAACGUGUCGUGGAAUAUCAGUAAACUUUGUUUCCAGACCUUAUGGCUACCUGAACAAUUUAAACUCAGAAGACUGAAGAAUAAUCACAGGAUUCACGUAAGAAGUGACAAGAAUGACAGUCCCGGGAGCCGGCACUGCUGCAGUUCCUGCCUCCUGUGCCCAAGGAAGAUAGUUCAUGUCACUAGUUGAAUAUGAGUUACUUUUGAGCCUGGAUUUUUGCUUCAGAAUCCUUCUCAACAGUGUUCCCAGCAGCUUCUGUCAGUCAAUCAAACAUGGCAUAAGGGAUUGACCAUCUCUGACUAGAUCCUUAGAACUAGGUCUGGGUGUGACAGAAAAAUCAAAAUUGAGACUUGGAAGAGGGAUGAGAUACCACCAGAAGCCAACCUUUUAUCCAGCAGAUACCAACUGAAACAGAAGGUAAAACGAUUUGUUUAAGAUUAUCUUUCUGCUUAAUAGAACUAGAAUUUAACAGGUGUCCUGCCCCCAAAUCCCAUGCUCUUGCUCAGACGCCUCUGUACUGCUUGUCUGAAUUCAGCUCCUCAGAUUUCGUUGAGUCUAAGAAUUUUCCAGCUUCAGUUAGCAUCUUUGCUGAGGCUCCAAUAUUUGUCAUACCUUCUGCAUUGAAUCUGAGAUGGGGGGCCAGGUUGGGCCAUGAAGGAUAAAUAUGAAACUUGGCUCUAGCUUUUUGGGUCAGGACUCCUAGCAGUUGGUCUUGGACACGGCAGCAGGGGAGCGGGGCCUGCAGGAAUACUUCUGGAGCAUGCAGCCUGCUUGUUGUGACAGCGAGACACCCCCCAUUCCUUCUCCUUGUCGUAUGACCCAGUUGUUCUGGGGGAGCCCAGGUGAUGCAGGAGCUGCCCAGGGAGCCUCUAGGGUGUCCUGGUUAAAAGUGCAGGCCCUGAAGUGGUAGAGACCACUCUUCAAAACCCAGCUUCACUACUUACUCACUGAGUGACUUUGGGCAAAUUAUUUCUCUCUCUCUGCCUGAGUGUCCUCUUCCGUAAAGUGGCUAAAUAUCAUAGGGUUGUUGUCAGAAUUAAAUGAGGUGACACAUAUAAAGUGCUUCGUUUAGUGCCUGGCAGACACUAAUAGUGGCUACCAAGUGAUGUCACAGAAAAUGGUGGAGGAAGGAGCUCCAAAAAUUGUUCCCUCCACUGAAGCAGCCAUUAAGCUGGCAAAAAAUGUCAGGGUCAACUUGUUCUGAACUCUAGAAUCUAAUAAUAAUAAUAAUAAAAAAACACUUACAUUUCUUUGGGGAAGGCUUAAUGAGGAAAGAGGCUGCUAAAUUUUGACAUGAAAUUUACGGAAGUCUGUGAGGUCACUGGCUGACCACUGAGAUAACAGAAAAGACUUCAGUGGCCACAUUCAGGAAUGCAGUCUUUGCAAAACUAAUUUAGAAAAGUUACUAGUCGAAUGGGUGACUGCAGCCCUCAACGAGCAACAACAGCGGACCCUGAUGAGAAGGGAGAAUCUGAUUUCCACAGUUACCACGUUACAAUAUUCAAAAUGUUCAGUUUUUGAC